UCCCGGGUCGUCUAAUUGGCAAGAUGGGUGGUUUUGGUCCACUUGUUCGAGGUUCGAAUCCUCGCCCGGGAG
rnacentral:tRNA from 1 species